UACAGAGGGGGCAAGCGUUGUUCGGAAUUACUGGGCGUAAAGGGCGCGUAGGCGGCCUGUUAAGUCGGACGUGAAAUCCCUCGGCUCAACCGGGGAACUGCGUCUGAUACUGGUUGGCUUGAGUGCAGGAGAGGAACGCGGAAUUCCAGGUGUAGCGGUGAAAUGCGUAGAUAUCUGGAGGAACACCGGUGGCGAAAGCGGCGUGCUGGAUUCCUACUGACGCUGAGGCACGAAAGCCAGGGGAGCAAACGGG
rnacentral:rRNA from 1 species